rnacentral:rRNA from 1 species
GAUGAACGCUGGCGGCGUGCUUAACACAUGCAAGUCGAGCGAGAAGCUUUGAAAAGAUUCUUCGGAUGAAAUUUAAAAUGGAAAGCGGCGGACGGGUGAGUAACGCGUAGGCAACCUGCCCCAUACAAAGGGAUAGCAUUUGGAAACGAAUAUUAAUACCUUAUGAAACUUAACUAGUGCAUGCUAGGUAGGUCAAAGAUUUAUCGGUAUGGGAUGGGCCUGCGUCUGAUUAGCUAGUUGGUGAGGUAACGGCUCACCAAGGCGACGAUCAGUAGCCGACCUGAGAGGGUGAACGGCCACAUUGGAACUGAGACACGGUCCAAACUCCUACGGGAGGCAGCAGUGGGGAAUAUUGCACAAUGGGGGAAACCCUGAUGCAGCAACGCCGCGUGAACGAUGAAGGCCUUUGGGUCGUAAAGUUCUGUUCUAGGUGAUGAAAACUGACAGUAACCUAGGAGAAAGCCCCGGCUAACUCCGUG